rnacentral:rRNA from 1 species
AUACGUAGGUGACAAGCGUUAUCCGGAUUUACUGGGCGUAAAGGGCGUGUAGGCGGUCUUGCAAGUCAGAAGUGAAAUUCCUGAGCUCAACUCGGGCGCUGCUUCUGAAACUGCAGGACUUGAGUGCUGGAGGGGAUAGCGGAAUUCCUAGUGGAGCGGUAAAAUGCGCAGAUAUUAGGAAGAACACCGGUGGCGAAGGCGGUUAUCCGGGCAGUAACGUACUCUUAGGCCCAAAAGCGGGGGGAACAAACAGGAUUAGAUACCCUGGUAGUCCACGCCGUAAACGAUGAUUACUAGGUGUAGGGGGUAUCGACUCCCUCUGGGCCGCAGUUAACACAAUAAGUAUUCCGCCUGGGGAGUACGGCCGCAAGGUUGAAACUCCAAGGAAUUGACGGG